rnacentral:rRNA from 1 species
AUGAGCCCAAAGGAGCAUGGUAUAUUGAAGGAGAAAGUGGAGGAAUUGCUGCAAAAGGGGCAUAUGCGAGAAAGUAUUAGCCCAUGUGCUGUACCAGCCCUGCUCGUGCCUAAGAAAGAUGGAUCUUGGCGCAUGUGUACGGACAGUAGAGCCGUUAACAAGAUCACCGUAAGGUAUAGAUUCCCUAUUCCCCGUCUGGAUGAUAUGUUGGAUCAGCUUAGUGGAGCAAGAGUGUUCACAAAGCUAGAUUUAAGAAGUGGAUAUCAUCAAAUCCGUAUAAGACCCGGGGAUGAAUGGAAGACCGCCUUCAAGACAAAGGAAGGGUUGUUUGAAUAG